AUUGAACGCUGGCGGCAGGCCUAACACAUGCAAGUCGAGCGGAUGAAGGGAGCUUGCUCCUGGAUUCAGCGGCGGACGGGUGAGUAAUGCCUAGGAAUCUGCCUGGUAGUGGGGGAUAACGUCCGGAAACGGGCGCUAAUACCGCAUACGUCCUGAGGGAGAAAGUGGGGGAUCUUCGGACCUCACGCUAUCAGAUGAGCCUAGGUCGGAUUAGCUAGUUGGUGGGGUAAAGGCCUACCAAGGCGACGAUCCGUAACUGGUCUGAGAGGAUGAUCAGUCACGCUGGAACUGAGAGACGGUCCAGACUCCGACGGGAGGCAGCAGUGGGGAAUAUUGGACAAUGGGAGAAAGCCUGAUCCAGCAAUGCCGCGUGUGUGAAGAAGGUCUUCGGAUGGUAAAGCACUUUAAGUUGGGAGGAAGGGCAGUAAGUUAAUACCUUGCUGUUUUGACGUUACCAACAGAAUAAGCACCGGCUAACUUCGUG
rnacentral:rRNA from 1 species